UGGCGCAUUCCGGAACUUUGUGCGUGCGGCGUAUGUGUGCGGGUUGCGUGAUGAGUUUGCUGCGUUUGUUUUCUGUGCCAUUUGCCUCGCUGUGACAUCUUUGGUAUUCCAACUUGUUGCUCGCUCUUUAUGGGCUACACGUUGCCUCGAAGAUCACCAUGAUCGCCUCCGACUCAGCCACAUCGAAGAAUCAAAAUGAGCCUGGAGACGCCACUGCCGGAAUGCGAAAGGUUGGAGAAGUGCUCAUUCAGAUGAUCCUGGCACAGCUUGCCAUGGUGGACCAGGCAAGUUUGCAAGGGCCUUGAUUCACCAUGUGGUCACGGAGAAGAACCUCAUGGGCCACUCACUUCUCGGAAACAACACCACCA